AUUGAACGCUGGCGGCAGGCCUAACACAUGCAAGUCGAACGAGUGGCGGACGGGUGAGUAAUGUCUGGGAAACUGCCUGAUGGAGGGGGAUAACUACUGGAAACGGUAGCUAAUACCGCAUACCAUCAGAUGUGCCCAGGUGGGAUUAGCUUGUUGGUGGGGUAACGGCUCACCAAGGCGACGAUCCCUAGCUGGUCUGAGAGGAUGACCAGCCACACUGGAACUGAGACACGGUCCAGACUCCUACGGGAGGCAGCAGUGGGGAAUAUUGCACAAUGGGCGAAAGCCUGAUGCAGCCAUGCCGCGUGUGUGAAGAAGGCCUUCGGGUUGUAAAGCACUUUCAGCUGGGAGGCGUUACCAACAGAAGAAGCACCGGCUAACUCCGUGCCAGCAGCCGCGGUAAUAC
rnacentral:rRNA from 1 species